AACGAACGCUGGCGGCAGGCUUAACACAUGCAAGUCGAACGCAUGCCUUCGGGCAUGAGUGGCAGACGGGUGAGUAACGCGUGGGAACCUAUCCCUUGGUACGGGAUAGCUCCGGGAAACUGGAGAUAAUACCGUAUGUGUCCUGAGGGACAAAGAUUCGUCGCCAAGGGAUGGGCCCGCGUCGGAUUAGCUAGUUGGUGGGGUAACGGCCUACCAAGGCGACGAUCCGUAGCUGGUCUAAGAGGAUGAUCAGCCACAUUGGGACUGAGACACGGCCCAAACUCCUACGGGAGGCAGCAGUGGGGAAUAUUGGACAAUGGGCGCAAGCCUGAUCCAGCCAUGCCGCGUGAGUGAUGAAGGCCCUAGGGUUGUAAAGCUCUUUCACCGGUGACGAUAAUGACGGUAACCGGAGAAGAAGCCCCGGCUAACUUCGUG
rnacentral:rRNA from 1 species